rnacentral:rRNA from 1 species
UACGUAGGGGGCAAGCGUUGUCCGGAAUCAUUGGGCGUAAAGCGCGCGUAGGCGGCCCGGUAAGUCCGUUGUAAAAGUCAAAGGCUCAACCUUUGAAAGCCGAUGGAUACUGCCGGGCUAGAAUCCGGAAGAGGCGAGUGGAAUUCCUGGUGUAGCGGUGGAAUGCGCAGAUAUCAGGAGGAACACCAACAGCGAAGGCAGCUCGCUGGGACGGUACUGACGCUGAGGCGCGAAAGUGUGGGGAGCGAACAGG